CAGUCGCCACGGGAAUACGAGGGGGGCUAGCGUUGCUCGGAAUGACUGGGCGUAAAGGGCGCGUAGGCGGCGGCCAAAGUCAGGCGUGAAAUUCCCGGGCUCAACCUGGGGGCUGCGUUUGAUACUUGGUUGCUUGAGUGGGGAAGAGGGUCGUGGAAUUCCCAGUGUAGAGGUGAAAUUCGUAGAUAUUGGGAAGAACACCGGUGGCGAAGGCGGCGACCUGGUCCUUUACUGACGCUGAGGCGCGAAAGCGUGGGGAGCAAACAGGAUUAGAUACCCCUGUAGUCCCUGUCUCUUAUAC
rnacentral:rRNA from 1 species